GACGAACGCUGGCGGCGUGCUUAACACAUGCAAGUCGAACGGGUCUGCCCUGUUUUUUGCGGGGUGGGUCAGUGGCGAACGGGUGAGUAACACGUGAGUAACCUGCCCCUCACUUCUGGAUAACCGCUUGAAAGGGUGGCUAAUACGGGGUGUUCUGGCUGUGCCGCAUGGUGUGGCUGGGAAAGAUUCACUUUUGUGGUGUUUUGGUGGGGGAUGGGCUCGCGGCCUAUCAGCUUGUUGGUGGGGUGAUGGCCUGCCAAGGCUUUGACGUGUAGCCGGCCUGAGAGGGUGGGCGGUCACACUGGGACUGAGAUACGGCCCAGACUCCUGCGGGAGGCAGCAGUGGGGGGUAUUGCACAAUGGGCGGAAGGCUGAUGCAGCGACGUCGCGUGAGGGAUGGAGGCCUUCGGGUUGUGAACCUCUUUCGACGGUGAAGAAGGUCCUGCUCUUUGUGGUGGGGUUGCCGGUAGCCGGGUUAUGAAGCGCCGGCUAACUACGUG
rnacentral:rRNA from 1 species